UACGUAGGUGGCAAGCGUUGUCCGGAUUUACUGGGCGUAAAGAGCGCGCAGGCGGUCGUUCAAGUCGCGUGUGAAAGCCCCCGGCUCAACUGGGGAGGGUCACGCGAUACUGAUCGACUCGAAGGCAGGAGAGGGAAGUGGAAUUCCCGGUGUAGUGGUGAAAUGCGUAGAUAUCGGGAGGAACACCAGUGGCGAAGGCGGCUACCUGGACAAUUGCUGACGCUCAGGCACGAAAGCGUGGGGAGCAAAAGGG
rnacentral:rRNA from 1 species